CCUUCAUUAAGGGUUAAAAGUGUGCUCUUAUCACAAGGCUGCAGGUUUGGUGAGUGCUAGAACAUACUCUUGGCACGGUCUUGGCCAGAAAAACCUUAGUUUGGGUUGUGUGAUUUCAGAAGAUCAGUUUGUACUCAUCUCCCUGGAGUUCUCUAAUUUACGUUUUCGUCUAGAAUCUGACAUGUCCUUUCCAAUGACCUACAAUGUGAUUUCUUCCUGAUCCUUAUUGUUCUUUUAGGAAGGCACUACAGAAAUGCUGGAACUGAACUCUGAUAAGAGGAAAAAUGAGGUGUCUAGUCCCAGAAGAACCUUGCUGCUGUUGCUCUGACCCGAGCGCGUCAUUGGUGAAGGAAAAGUUGGAUCAGUUGUCCAGGAGAAGUGCUAAAUUAGCAACCCUGGAGAACAGCAUCCUCCAUGCACAAAAUGAAGCAAGAAUCUCUUCCUGGAACUCAAGAAAGCCAGGUGAGAAGGAAUUGGACUGGCUGGGUGAACUUCUCAGGAUUGCAAGGUUGGGAUACUUAUUUAUUUAUUUAUUUAUUUUACAUAAAAGCAGUUCUUCAAAUAUAUAAUUAAAUGUAAUUCUACUUUUAGGAUUUCCUAAGAAUUUUCAUAUGCUUAAGUUAAAAAAAAAAAAAACCCUUAUCAUUCAUAUUCAUCCAUGCAGUCAGCACUUAUUAUGUGCUAAUUAUAUGCCAGACACUGUUCCAGGCACUAAGAUAAAGAUGUAAGAUACAGCUGGGUGUGGUGGCUCAUGCCUGUAAUCCAGGCACUUUGGAAGGCUGAGGCAGGUGGAUCUCUUGAGGUGAAGAGUUCAAGACCAGCUUGGCCAACGUGGUGAAACCCUGUCUCUACUAAAAAUACAAAAAUUAGCCAGGAGUGGUGGCAGGCACCUGUGGUCCCAGCUACUCGGGAGGCUGAGGCAGGAGAAUUGCUUGAACUUGGUGGGGGCGGAGGUUGCAGUGAGCCCAGAUCGCACCACUGCACUCCAGCCUGGGCAACACAGCUAGAUUCCAUCUCAAAAAAAAAAAAAAAAAAAAAGAUGUAGAUGUAAGAUACAGUCACUGACCUCAGGAAGUCAGUCCAAUAGGGUUAAUGGCUCUGUAGGCACAUAAUUAUAAUUUGGCAACAUUCACAGAGUGAUAGAGGGCUCUUUGGGAAUAUAAAGGGGAAGAACCUAAUUCUGAUUGGUUGGAUGGGUGUUUCAGAGGAGGCUUCUUGGAGGAAAGGACACUUACAUUGAGUCUUAGGUGAAUAGGAAUCAGCCAGAGACUAGAGGGAUGACCAUAAGAAUCUGGGCAUAAGGUGAGCCUAUACACAGACACCGAAGUGAGAAAGUGAGAAACUUCAUGGGCAUGUUUGGAAAAGUGCAAGAGCUGGGUUUGGUGAAUCAUUAGUUGGAAGAUGAGGGAUGAGAAAUGGUGGUACUGUUCCAGAGAGUCUUUUGUGGCUCAUUAAGGAGCUUGGAUUUUUCGCUCUAGGCAAAGAGCAGUUAUUAAAAUGUGUUAUACAGUGAGGGGGCAUGGUUGGGCUGUUGGAAUUGGGUAAAGUGGAUUGGGGACAAUACUGGAGGCAGGGAAACCAGAAGACUGUUGAUUGAUAUAUGGAAAGGGAGGGUUACAUUUGAGAAAUAGUUGAGAGUUAUUAUCUGGAAGAACUGGAGAUUAGUUGAAUGUAGGGAUAAGGAAGAUGGAGUACUGGAUGAUUGUCAAACCCCACAUACCACAGCCAACCUCACCUUAAGAAUAAACAGGCUGGUUGUGGUGGUGCACACCUGUAAUCCCAGCUAUUCAAGAAGCCGAGGUGGGAGGAUUGCUAGAGCCCAGGAGUUCCAGGCUGUAGUGAGCUAUGCUUGUGCCACUGCACUCCAGCCUGGGCAACAGAACAUGACCCCGUUUUACCCCAAGUACUUUGGAUUGCAAAUCACAUGCUUGGAAUUCUUUUUUUUUUAAUUUUUAAUUUUUGUGGUUACAUAGUAAAUGUAUAUAUUUAUGGAGUACCUGAGAUGUUUUGAUAUAGGCCUGUAAUGAGUAAUAAUCACGUAAUGUAAAAUGUGAUAAAUGUCCCUUCAAG
rnacentral:lncRNA from 1 species